GCUUCCAUGCUCUAGCGGCCAAGGAACUUGGACCUUCAAUCCACGUACGCGGGUUCAAAUCCCGCUGGAAGCUCCA
rnacentral:tRNA from 1 species